rnacentral:rRNA from 1 species
AUUGAACGCUGGCGGCAGGCUUAACACAUGCAAGUCGAGCGCGCGGCGGACGGGUGAGUCAUGUCUGGGAAACUGCCUGAUGGAGGGGGAUAACUACUGGACACGGUAGCUAAUACCGCCUACCAUCAGCUGUGCCCAGAUGGGAUUAGCUAGUAGGUGGGGUAAUGGCUCACCUAGGCGACGAUCCCUAGCUGGUCUGAGAGGAUGACCAGCCACACUGGAACUGAGAAACGGUCCAGAAUCCUACGGGAGGCAGCAGUGGGGAAUAUUGCACAAUGGGAGCAAGCCUGAUGCAGCCAUGCCGCGUGUGUGAAGAAGGCCUUCGGGUUGUAAAGAAAUUUCAGCGAGGAGGCGUUACUCGCAGAAGAAGCACCGGCUAACGCCGUGCCAGCAGCCGCGGUAAUAC